rnacentral:lncRNA from 1 species
ACAUCUCUCUCUCCUCUCCUGAGUCUCUCUCCUCACUGCACCUGAGUCCUCUCUACUGACAACAUGGGUUGCUGUGGCUGUGGUGGCUGUGGCUGUGGCGGCUGUGGCUGUGGUGGCUGUGGCUGUGGUGGCUGUGGCUGNNNNNNNNNNNGGUGGCUGCUGCGGUUGUUGUGGCUGCUGCAGGCCUACAGUAGUCUGCUGUUGCCGUCGCACCUGCUGCCGCUCCUGUGGCUGUGGCUCCUGUGGCUGCGGCUGUGGCUGUGGGAAGGGCUGUUGCCAGCAGAAGUGCUGCUGCCAGCAGAAGUGUGGCUGCAAGAAGUGCUGCUGCUAGCAUGGUUCUUGGCUCUGGUUCUAAGCUAUGAAAUGCUUGGGGCCUUUCUCAUUGCAUUUGGUAAGACUUUUUGGCCACUGUUGACUUUCCGUCCUUCUUACCUACCCAUCCUGUUGGUUUCCCUCCUUCUCAUCUACCCACUGGAAAUGCUCUUUCUGAUUUUUGUGUUCUGAAUUUUCAGGCUUGUUUCUUCACUUUUUUUUUUUAAAAAUCCAUGCUCAUAGGAUUUCUUCUUCCUGUCUUCUGGAACUUAUUACUCAAUACGUAUAUAUUUGCUGUGAUCUUUCUAAUCUUGACUAGCAUAUAUUCUCAACAUCAUGGGUAAAGGCAAAGCUGCUUGUGUCAGAAAAUAUAUUUAUAUUAUGAGCUUAACCAUGAAAAUCCCUAAUAGGUCACUUCGUUGAAAAAAAUUAAGUUAUGGCUAACUUUUUACUCUUUCAUAAUAUGUAUUCACUAACUUCUUUCCUACCUGUAUAACUUUGUUUAAAAGUAAAGCAACUCAUUGUCAACAAAUAAAUAAUAAUAAUAAAAAACCUAACCUA